rnacentral:hammerhead_ribozyme from 1 species
AUCCAGCUGACUAGUCCCAAAUAUGACGAAACGCGCGUUCUGGAU